AUGUCGAACCGGAUGGUCGCUGUCUGGGUUGUGAACGCCGGGGAUUCCCGGGCUGCGCGAUCCAGAGAGAGGAAAGUCCGAACUCCGCAGAGCAGUGUGCCGGAUAACAUCCGGGAGGGUGGUUUCAAAGCCACUUUACGGAAAGUGCCACAGAGAAUAUACCGCCGCCGGCCGGGUGAGCGGACGGUGAGAGCCGUUCUGCUCGAACCGGACGCGAGGGUGAAGCAGGCGCAAGCCGUUGCGGAACCCUUGGACUAAAGUGAAUGGCGAAAGCCGAUUCGCUUUUGCGCCGGACGCAAAGGCAAAACGGGCGCAAGCCCGCAAAGCCUGAGAUGUUCGACGGUUGUGGUAAGGGUGAAAAGGUGCGGUAAGAGCGCACCGGUCGGGCAGUAAUGCGCGACGCAUGGCAAACCCCACACGGAGCAAGACCAAAUAGGGAAGGAAUUCCGGAUAGCGAUAUUCGGGAUGCGUGCCUGCUCGGUGCGCCAAACUUUCGGGUAGGUCGCUUGAGCCGAUCAGUAAUGACCGGCCUAGAGGAAUGACCGUCAGCGGCGGCAACGCCGUACAGAAUUCGGCUUAUAGGUUUGACAUCACU
rnacentral:RNase_P_RNA from 1 species